AUCUGAAUAUUUAUUUUUCAUUUCGAAGCAUUACCAUCAGUAGCUCGUCCUGUUUGUUAAUAAGUACUCUGCACACUUCCAGCUAUACCAAAAAGUCUCAAUUUGGGACUUCAAUUAUUUAUUAAGAAAUUAGGAUUAUUUAUGUCUACAACUACUGGUACUGUUAAAUGGUUUAACGAAGCUAAAGGUUUUGGUUUUAUUGAACAAGAGUCUGGCCCAGACGUUUUUGCUCAUUUCAGCCAAAUCAAAGGUGACGGUUUCAGAACCCUGAAUGAAGGUCAACGUGUUGAGUUCACUGUAACUCAAGGUGCUAAAGGCCCUCAAGCAGAAAACAUUACUGCUCUGUAAGACAUUUGUUUACAGAAAAGAAGAAAAGCCUCGUUUUUACGAGGCUUUUUUUU
rnacentral:other from 1 species